rfam:Stegodyphus mimosarum contig121927, whole genome shotgun sequence.
ACCUUCGUGGUGUAGUGGUCAGCACGCUCGGCGCGUAUUCGAGGGAUCCGUGGUUCGAGUCCCGGCGAGGACA